rnacentral:lncRNA from 1 species
UUGACACAUACGAGGGCGAUAAGCCUCUUCCGGUUCACCUCCGACGGGGGAGCUCCUAUUACUUUGAACGUGCACCCCCAAAAGGGCUAAAUUCAAGAUUUCAGAGGUCCCAAUCCCAUCGUAUGGAGCCACCUAUCGAGUACCGCUUUGAACAGAAGGUCCCCCUGGCCCCUCCUGUUCCUUUCCCAAGACCGCCUAAAAGCUUACUGGGAAAGCCACUGCCUUAUUGUCUCAGAGUCUAUAACUAUCGUCCCUAGGAUCGCUAAACGCGAGCCGUCGGGUAAGCUUUUUUCCCGAAUCCUUAUCCGGUUCGGGCCUUAACUGAGGUUCAGUGGUUAUUAUACGAGUUACCGCUUGCAGAGGUUUUCCCAGUAUUUUAGUCUUACACGUAUAAGAAUACUGAACUGGUUCGGGCACACAAGUAAACAAAAGCAUAUGUGAGUUAACACUCUGGAAGGGAAGUUACUCCAGGGUUGGAGUAACGACCUAUCUCACAGGAUACUUUUCCACAAGAAUACAAGCCAGCCCACAUAAGUCUACAUAUGCCUAACAGAGCGAAUUGCUUCGCGAAGGGACCGGAGAGCGCUGCGGUAUGUUUGGGCUGCAGCAGCGCUCGGAGCCCUGAGACAGGCUAGUAGCUACUUCCAACUUUAAAACCUGAGCUACUGAGCUACUGAGCUAAUGAGCUACGAGCUAAGGAGCUACUGAGCUAAUGAGCUAACCUCCCCGAGGGAGGAAGAGCGCAGCUCGGAGGGGAAAGCGUUCAGCUCUUACGCGCGCGCGCGGAAGCCAACUCUUGUUUGCACGGUACUUGCGUUUUGCGACCCGACUAUUUCCUCCGAGGAAAUAGAAUAAGGGAAGACCACUUUUGAGCCCAACCUCCCCCGAGGGGAGACGAGCAAAGCUCGGAGGGGGCAAC